rnacentral:rRNA from 1 species
AGUGAACGCUGGCGGUAGGCCUAACACAUGCAAGUCGAACGGCAGCACAGUAAGAGCUUGCUCUUACGGGUGGCGAGUGGCGGACGGGUGAGGAAUACAUCGGAAUCUACUUUUUCGUGGGGGAUAACGUAGGGAAACUUACGCUAAUACCGCAUACGACCUACGGGUGAAAGCAGGAGAUCUUCGGACCUUGCGCGAUUGAAUGAGCCGAUGUCGGAUUAGCUAGUUGGCGGGGUAAAGGCCCACCAAGGCGACGAUCAGUAGCUGGUGUGAGAGGAUGGUCGGCGACACUGGAAGUGAGACACGGUCCAGAGGCCUACGGGAGGCAGCAGUGGGGAAUAUUAGACAAUGGGCGCGAGCCUGAUCCAGCCAUACCGCGUGUGUGACGAAGGCCUUCGGGUUGUAAAGCCCUUUUGUUGGGAAAGAAAAGCAGCAGGCUAAUACGCAGCUGGUCUGACGGUAACCAAAAAAGAAGCACCGGCUAACUUCGUG